GACGAACGCUGGCGGCGUGCUUAACACAUGCAAGUCGAACGGAAAGACCCUGCUUUUGUGGGGUGCUCGAGUGGCGAACGGGUGAGUAACACGUGAGUAACCUGCCCUUGACUUUGGGAUAACUUCAGGAAACUGGGGCUAAUACCGGAUAGGAGCUCCUGCUGCAUGGGGGGGGUUGGAAAGUUUCGGCGGUUGGGGAUGGACUCGCGGCUUAUCAGCUUGUUGGUGGGGUAGUGGCUUACCAAGGCUUUGACGGGUAGCCGGCCUGAGAGGGUGACCGGCCACAUUGGGACUGCGAUACGGCCCAGACUCCUACGGGAGGCAGCAGUGGGGAAUAUUGCACAAUGGGCGGAAGCCUGAUGCAGCAACGCCGCGUGCGGGAUGACGGCCUUCGGGUUGUAAACCGCUUUCGCCUGUGACGAAGCGUGAGUGACGGUAAUGGGUAAAGAAGCACCGGCUAACUACGUG
rnacentral:rRNA from 1 species